UAAUAACGCCCCUGUCAAAUAGUGUACUUUUUUAAGUGUCACCGGUGACAGAGCGCUGACAGCACAUAUUCGACCAAUCCCCGAGUUCAAAAGACCAAAACUUGACACUUAUUUUGAUUAGAUGUCAUUGUGACUUAUUUUGUUUAGUUCUACUCAGCUUUUGCAAGCCUUUAAACAGAUAGAAACAUAUUGAAAAAUGUUGUCUUAAACGAAAGUGGAAAACGUACUUUGUAAAGCGCUAAAGGUCCCUCCCUCAUUAUGAUAUGUUUAAUGCCACCAAACAUCCCAUGAUUCUUGUGAUGAAGAUUGUGUGCUUGCAAUAGAAUUUUCACUCUAUCUAAAGGGGCUACAGUCGUUUUAGAAACCAUUCCAGCAACUCCUGUAAAUGCAUAAAUAGUACAAAAGUAGUAAGUUACUGAUGGUAUUGGUAAGCAUCUUGAAUGGCAUUAAGUGUAUCCUACAUUGUCCGGUUAUUACCAUAGCGUUUGCUAUAAGUAUCAGUUACAAAUCAUAACUGGCAGUUGUCUUAAGCCACCAUAGGAAAUCCUCAGAAUACAUCAGAUGCAUUUAUACUUUAAAAUAACAUUGAUUACUUUUUUGGCAGCCAACCAAAUUAUUUCAUUUAAAAUCGACACGUAAUAAGUAUUUAGUUACAGUCGAAUAUAUAAACUAUACAGGAUGGUCUGCACUGAAUUCUCUAUUGUGCGAAAUUUAGGUUUAGUUAAGUAGAAAUUUUGAAUCUAAACGUAGUUUUUUUAUCAAAACUUAUUAAUGGAAAGCGAUGUCCGAAUUUUUAAUCACGCCUUUGCUUGACUGGUUGCUUCCAUGGUAAAAAGAUACCUGUUUAUUAUCCAUAAACCAGCCGGUUUUCGAAAAAUUGUGAACCGAAAUCAUUUAAACUUUUUAUAUUGGUCUAGCUAACAGAGACAAGCUAGAAUAAAUGCACACUGUGCAACAUAGCAUGGAAAAGAACACCGUGUCAGUAAUUUACACAAUAUUUGUAAAGAUAUGUAAGAAUAUUUUAAAUUUUGAGAUAAAAUCAGAUUAUUCACAAACAACUCUCGGAAUGCGGAUAUGGAAUAUUCAAAUUAACUCAUACGUUGCGUUUUGAUAGUUUUUAAGUUGACCUUAAAAUAUUUCAAUCGCAGACAAUGCAUGUAUACACUAUAACUUUGAUCGCAAGUCAUCAGUGGCGAAAUUUGACUACCAACAUAAAAACAAUUAUGCAUGAAAAUUGUGUGAUAAGGCGAAUCUUUUUUAUUGUGUUUUGGGCAUUGGAGAACCUCAAGCAAUCAUAAAAUGCAAAAGAACUUUAGAAUACGACCUAAUUUAAAGCGACGUUGAUUAUGUUCAUCUUUAUUUUAUUUAAUUAUUAGGUUGGUGAAAAUUACAAUGCUGCCGAAUGGAUCGAAGAUUUAUCGGAAUUGUUUUUAAUAAAAAAUCCUGUUGCAUUUGUUAUGUACUUGUCCAUGACUUUUGCGUUAGCGGUAUAUUGGUGCUUUUGCAAUAAACCAUUAUUCCAUAAAGAAUAAUCAGCAGAAGCGAGAUAGCAUUGAGAAAAAUUAAUACUGCUUCGAGAUUUAUGUUUAUCUAUAUAAUUUGUGGCGGGUAUGGCAACAACGCUCGACAGACGAUUGAUGACGUGCAAGCAUAGUUAUAGUGAACGAAGUAUACAGGGUGUCCCGUAAGCACAUGAUCAAAAGAAUACUGCGAUAUUCUUUGCAUCAAAAGACUGACCUAACUUUUAUUAACAAAAAAUGUCUGGCUCCUCUGCUAUGGAUGGUCAAAGUUCUUCAAAAAUUGGUCUUUAUUGAAAUAUCGGGAGAAUGGUACGAUGUAUUUUGGUGAAACACGCUGAGAAUUUGUUCUUAGGAACGCGGCUCAAUUGAAGUAACACAUAUUAAAGUACAUAAGUACAAAGAGUACAUAGCAUCGCAUCAUAAGAUAACCGCUCCUUGAGAAAGGAAACAUUGAGUAGGACUCAAUUCAAUUUCAAUUAGUUAUUUAUCCUACUAUCAUCUACUUAAUUUCAAUGGAGAAUUGUUUGUUGAGUACGUGCUAAAUUUUUUUACGUGUUAACAUAUAUUAUAAUAAUGCUUUCUGGGAUGCCAUAUGCAAAAUUGGAAAAUGGCAAGACACAGAAAAAACACAUUUUGCACAUUGCACAACUGUGAAUACUACAGGAUUUCGCAAAGAACAGGAAAAUCUAGAAAAAUUAAUUAAUGCAUCAACUAAAUCAACUGAAUUGAUUCCAGCUGCCAAAAGAGGAGUUCUGCUAGUUUUCGAACCAUACAGUCAAUAAUGUAUUCCUUGCCCAAUACGUAUGGCAGCGGAAGCUUAAGUUUCCGAAAUGAGUGUUACCCAGGAAAACAUUAAAUUUGCAAGUUUCACUAAAAACCAUUGCAAAUUUCUCUCAAUACUACAAAGAAGCUAACUGUUUUCAUCAAGUUUGACCAUCAAAUACGAGAAGCCCGAUAUUUUCCUUAAUAAAAGUUAGGCCAGCUCAUCUUCUUUUGAGCCAACGAGUGUCGCAGUACCAUUUUGAUGAUGGCUUAUGGGAUAGCCUGAAUACUACUACUUUUAUUUUAUAGCUGAUUUUAUAAAUAAAUGUGUAUUAUUAUUUA